rnacentral:rRNA from 1 species
GUUAAGGUUAAUAACCUUAGCGAUUGACGUUACCCGCAGAAGAAGCACCGGCUAACUCCGUGCCAGCAGCCGCGGUAAUACGGAAGGGUGCAAGCGUUAAUCGGAAUUACUGGGCGUAAAGCGCACGCAGGCGGUCUGUCAAGUCGGAUGUGAAAUCCCCGGGCUCAACCUGGGAACUGCAUUCGAAACUGGCAGGCUAGAGUCUUGUAGAGGGGGGUAGAAUUCCAGGUGUAGCGGUGAAAUGCGUAGAGAUCUGGAGGAAUACCGGUGGCGAAGGCGGCCCCCUGGACAAAGACUGACGCUCAGGUGCGAAAGCGUGGGGAGCAAACAGGAUUAGAUACCCUGGUAGUCCACGCCGUAAACGAUGUCGAUUUGGAGGUUGUGCCCUUGAGGCGUGGCUUCCGGAGCUAACGCGUUAAAUCGACCGCCUGGGGAGUACGGCCGCAAGGUUAAAACUCAAAUGAAUUGACGGGGGCCCGCACAAGCGGUGGAGCAUGUGGUUUAAUUCGAUGCAACGCGAAGAACCUUACCUGGUCUUGACAUCCACAGAACUU